ACCCAGCUGAUGAGUCCCAAAUAGGACGAAACGCGCGUCCUGGAU
rfam:Schistosoma mattheei strain Denwood, Zambia genome assembly, scaffold: SMTD_scaffold0010886